GCAGGUUUAUAAAGACCCUCUGGAUCCGCGGAACUUUCUCCGUCGGGGCAGCAACUUUGUUCGCCAUGGUGGGAGCCGCGCUGGUUGCUAAGGAGAAAGCGUCGCUUUGGUUGCCAAGGAGACACUCUGGAAACACGUUCCAGAGUCCAGUGGACAGAGAGGACUAAAAAUAUUGAUGAAUCUGAUGAAAAGGAUCCUGGGAGCGGACACAAGUCGGCACAGCUUGGUGCUUCCGCUAGAGAGAAACGCUCUUCAACUACCUGAAACCCCGUAUCGGUUGCAUUUCCCCUCCAAUUAGCACAUACAAGGUAAUGUAGAAAAUGUGAAAAAGCAUAAAGAGAAUGAAAAUUACCUAUCUUACUACCUAGUGAUGACUACUAUUACCAUCGUAGAAUAUUUUAUUUCAUUUUUCCUUCUACUGCAUAUGAUUAUUUUUCAAAAUAGAUUAUAGUUUUAUAUCCUUUUUUUCAUGUAGCAAUUUUUCCCUAUUGUCAUUUUUUUCAUAAUUUUUAAUGGCUGCAUAUUUUUCCACCAAAAGGAUUUCAUAACUUAACCACUUUUUAGAGCCUUUCCAAUUUUCCAUUAGAGAAAUGAACAUCCUCGUAGUGUAUCUUCUGCUCAAUGAUUUCCCUCUGCUAGACUGCUAGGAUAUUACCGGUACAGAAGCUGUAAGCUUUGUAAAGGCUUUGUUACCAAGGUUUUCCAGAAAGGUUUCACCAUACUGUAUCCUCCAGCAAAAUGGAAGAGUGCCCCUCACUAAAUCUUUAUUGACAUCAUUAUAUUUAAGAGAAAUUAUUAGAUUAUUAGGUGAAAUGGCUCAACAUAGCUACACUUAUUUUCCUUCCUUGAAUUACUGGUCAGGUUGAAUAUCUUUCAAGUGGUUACUGGACAUCUGUAUAUUUUUCUGAGUUGUUUGAUAAUAUUAUUUACCCACUGUUCUCAUUUUUUUCUCAUUGAUUUGUAAGAAUUAAUUAUUUAGAGUUUCUCUUUUCUUUUGGAAGUGAAAUCAAAACAAUUUAUCUGGUUAAAUUCUUUAAACAAUCUAGAUAAAAUGAAGGUUUUCUUAUCUAGUGGAGGUUUUAUUUUUUUUUUAAGAUUUUAUUUUUCCUUUUUCUCCCAAAGCCCCCU